rnacentral:rRNA from 1 species
CGUAUACGAAAUAAUCACAGUGGAACUAAGCAUACGAACAAGUAGGACGGGGCACGUGGAAACUUGUCUGAAUAUGGGGGGACCAUCCUCCAAGGCUAAAUACUCCUGAAUGACCGAUAGUGAACUAGUACCGUGAGGUAAAGGUGAAAAGAACCCUUAUAAAGGGAGUGAAAUAGAAUCUGAAACCGCUUGCAUACAAGCAGUAGGUGCAUGAUUUAGUCAUGUGACUGCGUACCUUUUGUAUAAUGGGUCAGCGAGU